rnacentral:rRNA from 1 species
UACGGAGGGUGCAAGCGUUGUCCGGAUUUAUUGGGUUUAAAGGGUGCGUAGGCGGCCAUUUAAGUCUGGGGUGAAAGCCCGUUGCUCAACAACGGAACUGCCCUGGAAACUGGAUGGCUUGAGUACAGACGAGGGUGGCGGAAUGGAUGCUGUAGCGGUGAAAUGCAUAGAUAGCAUCCAAAACCCCGAUUGCGAAGCAGCUGCCUAGACUGUAACUGGCGCUGAGACGCGAAAGCGUGGGGAGCGAACAGG